GAGAGGCUGCAAUCACUCAACAAUUACAAACUAGCUGAGAGCAUUUGAGACGGACUAUAUUUUACUCUGCAGCUUUCAACAAACACGCUCACUAGAUUCGGCCUGACGAAUGUGCUGCUGAUAAUCAACAAUCUUUUGAAUAGAAUCUGAAUCAUCAUUACUUUGAAUGAAGAAUUUGAAAUAAGCAUGACACAGAUUAUAAAAUGCUUUGAGAGUCAAGUAGUCCAUUGAGCAUGGGAGGCUGCAUAUAUGAGAAUCAAAGGGCAUUGUUGAUGUUCACAAGUAACGGCGGACUCUGGAAUCCUGGAUGGUACCAGCCCAGAAAGAGAAGCAUCAUCAGCCAUUGGAAAAGUGGAUCUAUUCUGAGUAUGACUUAGUCAGAUACAACCCACUAUAUACAACUGGACAGAGUAAACAUGCAUAGGAUUAUGAUGUGAGGCACAGUCUUUUGCUGUUUGGGUUCUGAUCAUGGAUAAGCAGCUCUCACAUUACUUGGAACAUUUUAAAGGGAACUAUCAUCAUCAUCAUCAUCAUCAUUGCAGAAACCUUCCCUAGGGAUGCCUACCAAACCAUCUCAUUGCUUAGCUUUAGGUCUCACAUAUCGGAGGAAUCCUUCGUUGUCUAUGAAAGCACUUUGAAAUAUUGAAAUAUAACAGUUGUUAUAUUGCUGUUGCUGUUAUGGAUUUUUAUCAUUUUUGAAAAAAGUGAAAUUCUUCUGUACAUCACAUUGACUACCUGUUUAGGAUGGGAAAGUUAUAACAAUAAAUAAAGAUUUGUAAAAAUGUAUCUAUUUGCAAUGCUUUGGUGGCAUACUUGGCCAGAGUAAAGCCAUAGCUUAUGUUACACUGGUGGGCACAUUCCCUCUAAAUAUUUAAUUUUUACAGCAAUGAAAGUUAAGUUGGGGAAUGGAAGAGAAGAGGAAUGGUGGGAUAUUUGUGGAUAUCAAAGACAAUGAUGGAAACCUGUGAAAAUGUGGACAGA